AUGGCCACCACGAGAUCCCCGCUCGUGGCAAGCCACUCACCCCGCAUCCUGGGUUCUCCAUGGCCGUUAGUUCUCUGCGCGAAGGUAGUCUUCGGGAUGAACGCUCUCAACGGCCGUGAGCCGGACGGCAAGUCUUAUAUGGGAGGGAACUGGGACAUGACAAAUGCAGCAUCGUUCAUCAAGUACACCGUCAGUAAGGGCUACGACAUCCAUGGUUGGGAGCUCGGAAAUGAGCUCGGAGGCAAGGCAGUCGGCACCUUGAUCGCGGCUGACCAAUAUGCUAAAGACGUGACCUUUCUGAAAUGGGUCGUCGAAGAUACUUACGAGGACAGCCCAUCGAAGCCGCUGCUGCUCGCUCCGGGAAGCUUCUUCGACAAAGACUGGUUCAGUGAGUUCAUCACCAAAACCAGUCCAGAUACCGUCAGUGUGGUCAGCCACCACAUCUACAAUCUGGGGGCAGGAGUAGAGACCGGCCUCGUCAAGAGGAUCCUCAACCCCUCUUACCUCGACGGGGUGGCGAGACAAUUCAGUGAUCUCCAGGAGUUGCUGAAAACCGCAGGGUCGUCGGUCGUCGCGUGGGUCGGCGAGGCUGGAGGGGCUUACAACAGUGGCCACCACCUUGUCACUGACGCGUUUGUGUUCAGCUUCUGGUACCUGGACCAACUUGGCAUGUCAGCGAAGUACAACACAAAGACUUACUGCAGGCAGAGCUUCAUUGGUGGCAACUAUGACCUGCUCAACACAACAACAUUCCAACCAAACCCUGACUACUACAGUGCGCUACUAUGGCAUCGCCUGAUGGGAACCAAAGUUCUAGAUGCCAAAUUCAGCGGCACCACCAACCUGAUCCGUGCCUACGCACAUUGUGCGAAGAACUCGUCAGGCAUCAGUUUGUUGUUGAUGAACCUGCACGGCAACGCCAGGAACGAUGUGUCCUUGACAAGUGAGGAGCUGCUUGUAGUUGACGCGUCUGGAGUCACGAGGGAGGAGUACCACCUCCUCCCUGAAGGUGGCGACAUUCACAGCCAGGUGAUGCUGCUCAACGGAAGGGCCUUGACCACCGAUGCGGACGGGAACAUCCCUAGGAUGGAGCCCAUCAUUGUGCAUGCAGCGCAGCCCAUUGCCAUUGCGCCUCUGUCCAUCGUCUUUGCCCACAUGCCCAAUUAUUAUGCCCCUGCGUGUAGUUAA
rnacentral:rRNA from 1 species